rnacentral:lncRNA from 1 species
UUCGCCUAGCCACAGCAGCUCCAUCAUACAGACUCCGCAAGCCAAGAGCCCGUGGAGGCAAAUGCAGACAGCCAGCACACCUCGAACAGCCACCUUGACUGCGGGUGUGUCACCCUAGUCGCCAAGGAAACAUUUGAGGGAAAGCGACAGGCAAUAAGAACAGUCACUUCUCCAUGUAAACGAUACUCUUUCUCUCGGAUGACUCCUACGUUUGCCACGCCAGCACACUUGUGCACAAAGAUGCCGCGGAAGCACGUGCAGGUCAGAGGCAAGAAGCAGUGGCACUGGUGUCAACAUUCGCCCAAUUUCUUUUUCUUACACUGAGGCAGCCAGCACACCUCGAACAGCCACCUUAACUGCGGGUGUGUUAGUAGAUUCCUGUUGUACAUAUGCUCAUAAUAAUCUUCAGCAAACUUGAACUUGAUAAUAAACUUGAAGACAAAUGGGA